rnacentral:misc_RNA from 1 species
CUAUCGGUAGUUUACUGCCGUUUGAGAGAAGUGGAAACUGAUCAGGGGCGCUCCUCCUGAGAAGAAGUACACUUCUUUUCUUAACCCUUGACUUUUUGCGUACUCAUGUUUCCUCGGCAGGCUUGCCUGCCGGCUGGACAACUCUUAUAACCUUUUAAUUCUCAAUCAGCGUCUGAAUAAACAUAAUAAUUA